rnacentral:tRNA from 1 species
GGUUAGCUCAGUGGUAGAGUGCUUGCCUUGCAUGCAUGAGGCCCUGGGUUCGAUUCCUCAGCACCA